GGAAAAUGAGUCUCGGUAGGUGAGAAAAAUAUCUCACCUACAUUUAUACUAAGUGCAAAUGGACGGGUCGGAUCGGGUGAUCCGGCCCAAAAUUAAAUAAGGGACUUGGGCUCAGACCACACUCAUCAGAGCCCAGUUACAACUUAUAACCCAAUGCCGGAAAUAUACCUACAAUAUAUACUCAAUAUACACUGAAUAUACACAAGUAUAUACAAAUCUAAAUCAUGUAAUAUCUUGUAUCUCAACA
rnacentral:lncRNA from 1 species